rnacentral:rRNA from 1 species
UAGGGAAUCUUCCGCAAUGGACGCAAGUCUGACGGAGCAACGCCGCGUGAGUGAAGAAGGAUUUCGGUUCGUAAAACUCUGUUGUUAGAGAAGAACAGCGCAUAGAGUAACUGUUAUGCGUGUGACGGUAUCUAACCAGAAAGCCACGGCUAACUACGUGCCAGCAGCCGCGGUAAUACGUAGGUGGCAAGCGUUGUCCGGAUUUAUUGGGCGUAAAGCGAGCGCAGGCGGUUAGAUAAGUCUGAAGUUAAAGGCAGUGGCUCAACCGGUAUAGGCUUUGGAAACUGUUUAACUUGAGUGCAGAAGGGGAGAGUGGAAUUCCAUGUGUAGCGGUGAAAUGCGUAGAUAUAUGGAGGAACACCGGUGGCGAAAGCGGCUCUCUGGUCUGUAACUGACGCUGAGGCUCGAAAGCGUGGGGAGCGAACAGG